GAGGCUCAGAUCUGGGUUGCUGAUAAACUAGGCAUCUAGUCCAGGGGCUGCUGGAGGCAGGAGGAGCCAAGACCUUCUCCUUGAGCUAAGAUGAACUUAGGAGGCCAGGAACAAGGUCAGGAGGGCAGGGAGGAGCUCAGAAGGCCGAGGACAGGCUUGGGAGGCUGAGGACUCGCUCAGUUUGCAUUUCUCUGAUGGCCAGUGAUGGUGAGCAUUUUUUCAUGUGUUUUUUGGCUGCAUAAAUGUCUUCUUUUGAGAAGUGUCUGUUCAUAUCCUUUGCCCACUUUUUGAUGCGGUUGUUUGUUUUUUUCUUGUAAAUUUGUUUGAGUUCAUUGUAGAUUCUGGGCUGGGUGGUCACAGUGUCCUCAGAGCCUUGACAUCUGCACCUGUGAGAUGACACUUGCCUGCCCACCUCUGAGCAUCCCAGUUGUGCCCACAGCCCCGGGUGAGGGCAGGGCCGAGACGUGUGCCCAGAUUGCUGUAUUGAUGUUGAAUAGACCUGCUGGAAAGGGUUCCAGACGCUAUCACACAUGGAGUGGGACAGGAUGAGCAUUCCAACCUUUCAUUGAAAGUUCUGUUUAUAUGUAGCUGCCAAACACCUUGGUGAGUGGACUAUUCUUCCAAGAUGGAAAUGAACUUGUCCUACCCAAAAUGGGGCAGUGCUGUGGUUCAGCAGGAGACACACCCCCAACCCAAAGCAGGUGUGUGAGGAGGGGGUGGCAAAGGGGAUGCAUGCCCCUAUCACAA
rnacentral:lncRNA from 1 species